UACGGAGGGAGCUAGCGUUGUUCGGAUAUACUGGGCGUAAAGCGCACGUAGGCGGCGCCGUAAGUCAGGGGUGAAAUCCCGGAGCUCAACUCCGGAACUGCCCUUGAAACUGCAGUGCUAGAAUCUUGGAGAGGCGAGUGGAAUUCCGAGUGUAGAGGUGAAAUUCGUAGAUAUUCGGAGGAACACCAGUGGCGAAGGCGGCUCACUGGCUCGGUACUGACGCUGAGGUGCGAAAGCGUGGGGAGCAAACAGG
rnacentral:rRNA from 1 species